UGCUUGCACUUGGAUGGACUGAGUGGCGGACGGGUGAGUAACGCGUGGGUAACCUGCCUUAUACAGGGGGAUAACAGUUGGAAACGACUGCUAAUACCGCAUAAGCGCACGGUAUCGCAUGAUACAGUGUGAAAAACUCCGGUGGUGUGAGAUGGACCCGCGUCUGAUUAGCUAGUUGGCAGGGCAACGGCCUACCAAGGCGACGAUCAGUAGCCGGCUUGAGAGGGUGAACGGCCACAUUGGGACUGAGACACGGCCCAAACUCC
rnacentral:rRNA from 1 species